rnacentral:rRNA from 1 species
UACGUAGGUGGCGAGCGUUGUCCGGAAUUACUGGGCGUAAAGGGUGCGUAGGCGGUUUCAUAAGUCAGAUGUGAAAUUCCGGGGCUUAACUUCGGAACUGCAUUUGAAACUGUGGGGCUAGAGUGCAGGAGAGGAAAGCGGAAUUCCUAGUGUAGCGGUGAAAUGCGUAGAUAUUAGGAAGAACACCAGUGGCGAAGGCGGCUUUCUGGACUGUAACUGACGCUGAGGCACGAAAGCGUGGGGAGCAAAC